rnacentral:rRNA from 1 species
GAUGAACGCUGGCGGCGUGCCUAAUACAUGCAAGUCGAACGCAUAGCGAAAGGUGCUUGCACCUUUCCAGUGAGUGGCGAACGGGUGAGUAACACGUGGACCACCUGCCUCAAGUCUGGUGAUAACAUUUGGAAACAGCUGCUAAUACCGAAUAAAACUUAGUGUCGCAUGACACAUAGUUAAAAGGCGCUUCGGCGUCACCUAGCGCUGGAUCCGCGGUGCAUUGGUUAGUUGGUGGGGUAAAGGCCUACCAAGACAAUGAUGCAUGGACGAGUUGAGUGACGGAUCGGCGGCAUUGGGAGGGAGACGGGGCCCAUAGUACUGAGAGAGGCUGCAGUAUGGAACCGGCCACAGUGGGCGAAAGCCUGACGGAGCAACGCGACGUGUGUGAUGAAGGCGUUGGGGGCGGAAAGAACGGUUGCAGGGUAAGAACAGCUAGAAUAGGAAAUGAAGCGAGUUUGACGGUACCAGAUCAGAAAGCGACGGCUAAAUACGUG